rnacentral:misc_RNA from 1 species
ACUACCCGGGUAUCUAAUCCUGUUUGCUCCCCACGCUUUCGAUAUGCAUGAGCGUCAGUGUUAUCCCAGGAGGCUGCCUUCGCCAUCGGUGUUCCCUCCGCAUAUCUACGCAUUUCACUGCUACACGCGAAUUCCACCUCCCUCUGACACACUCUAGCUCGGUAGUUAAAAAUCAGUUCAAAGUUAAGCUCUAUAGGAUUUCACAUCUUUCUUUCCGAACCGCCUGUACGCUUUACGCCCGGUAAUUCCGAUUAACGCUUGCGCCCCUACGUAUUACCGCGGCUGCUGGCGCGGUGCUGGUGCCCAGUAUUAAAUUCCGUCGAUUUGCACGGGUAUUAUCCGUGCUACGUUUUCUUCCUGCCAAAAGUGCUUUACAACCCGAAAAUCCUUCAUCGCACACGCGGGAUGGCUGGAUCGGGAGUUUCCCCCAUUGUCCGGGAAUUUCUACUGCUGCGCCCCGUAUUU